rnacentral:rRNA from 1 species
AAAUUGAAGAGUUUGAUCAUGGCUCAGAUUGAACGCUGGCGGCAGGCCUAACACAUGCAAGUCGAGCGGUAGCACAGAGAGCUUGCUCUCGGGUGACGAGCGGCGGACGGGUGAGUAAUGUCUGGGAAACUGCCUGAUGGAGGGGGAUAACUACUGGAAACGGUAGCUAAUACCGCAUAACGUCGCAAGACCAAAGUGGGGACCUUCGGGCCUCAUGCCAUCAGAUGUGCCCAGAUGGGAUUAGCUGGUAGGUGGGGUAACGGCUCACCUAGGCGACGAUCCCUAGCUGGUCUGAGAGGAUGACCAGCCACACUGGAACUGAGACACGGUCCAGACUCCUACGGGAGGCAGCAGUGGGGAAUAUUGCACAAUGGGCGCAAGCCUGAUGCAGCCAUGCCGCGUGUGUGAAGAAGGCCUUCGGGUUGUAAAGCACUUUCAGCGGGGAGGAAGGCGGUGAGGUUAAUAACCUCAUCGAUUGACGUUACCCGCAGAAGAAGCACCGGCUAACUCCGUGCCAGCAGCCGCGGUAAUACGGAGGGUGCAAGCGUUAAUCGGAAUUACUGGGCGUAAAGCGCACGCAGGCGGUCUGUCAAGUCGGAUGUGAAAUCCCCGGGCUCAACCUGGGAACUGCAUUCGAAACUGGCAGGCUAGAGUCUUGUAGAGGGGGGUAGAAUUCCAGGUGUAGCGGUGAAAUGCGUAGAGAUCUGGAGGAAUACCGGUGGCGAAGGCGGCCCCCUGGACAAAGACUGACGCUCAGGUGCGAAAGCGUGGGGAGCAAACAGGAUUAGAUACCCUGGUAGUCCACGCUGUAAACGAUGUCGAUUUGGAGGUUGUGCCCUUGAGGCGUGGCUUCCGGAGCUAACGCGUUAAAUCGACCGCCUGGGGAGUACGGCCGCAAGGUUAAAACUCAAAUGAAUUGACGGGGGCCCGCACAAGCGGUGGAGCAUGUGGUUUAAUUCGAUGCAACGCGAAGAACCUUACCUGGUCUUGACAUCCACAGAACUUAGCAGAGAUGCUUUGGUGCCUUCGGGAACUGUGAGACAGGUGCUGCAUGGCUGUCGUCAGCUCGUGUUGUGAAAUGUUGGGUUAAGUCCCGCAACGAGCGCAACCCUUAUCCUUUGUUGCCAGCGGUCCGGCCGGGAACUCAAAGGAGACUGCCAGUGAUAAACUGGAGGAAGGUGGGGAUGACGUCAAGUCAUCAUGGCCCUUACGACCAGGGCUACACACGUGCUACAAUGGCAUAUACAAAGAGAAGCGACCUCGCGAGAGCAAGCGGACCUCAUAAAGUAUGUCGUAGUCCGGAUUGGAGUCUGCAACUCGACUCCAUGAAGUCGGAAUCGCUAGUAAUCGUAGAUCAGAAUGCUACGGUGAAUACGUUCCCGGGCCUUGUACACACCGCCCGUCACACCAUGGGAGUGGGUUGCAAAAGAAGUAGGUAGCUUAACCUUCGGGAGGGCGCUUACCACUUUGUGAUUCAUGACUGGGGUGAAGUCGUAACAAGGUAACCGUAGGGGAACCUGCGGUUGGAUCACCUCCUUA